CGCUGGCGGCAGGCCUAACACAUGCAAGUCGAGCGGUAGCACAGAGAGCUUGCUCUCGGGUGACGAGCGGCGGACGGGUGAGUAAUGUCUGGGAAACUGCCUGAUGGAGGGGGAUAACUACUGGAAACGGUAGCUAAUACCGCAUAACGUCGCAAGACCAAAGUGGGGGACCUUCGGGCCUCAUGCCAUCAGAUGUGCCCAGAUGGGAUUAGCUAGUAGGUGGGGUAACGGCUCACCUAGGCGACGAUCCCUAGCUGGUCUGAGAGGAUGACCAGCCACACUGGAACUGAGACACGGUCCAGACUCCUACGGGAGGCAGCAGUGGGGAAUAUUGCACAAUGGGCGCAAGCCUGAUGCAGCCAUGCCGCGUGUGUGAAGAAGGCCUUCGGGUUGUAAAGCACUUUCAGCGGGGAGGAAGGCGUUAAGGUUAAUAACCUUGGCGAUUGACGUUACCCGCAGAAGAAGCACCGGCUAACUCCGUGCCAGCAGCCGCGGUAAUACGGAGGGUGCAAGCGUUAAUCGGAAUUACUGGGCGUAAAGCGCACGCAGGCGGUCUGUCAAGUCGGAUGUGAAAUCCCCGGGCUCAACCUGGGAACUGCAUUCGAAACUGGCAGGCUAGAGUCUUGUAGAGGGGGGUAGAAUUCCAGGUGUAGCGGUGAAAUGCGUAGAGAUCUGGAGGAAUACCGGUGGCGAAAGCGGCCCCCUGGACAAAGACUGACGCUCAGGUGCGAAAGCGUGGGGAGCAAACAGGAUUAGAUACCCUGGUAGUCCCCGCCGUAAACGAUGUCCAUUUGGAGGUUGUGCCCUUGAGGCGUGGCUUCCGGAGCUAACGCGUUAAAUCGACCGCCUGGGGAGUACGGCCGCAAGGUUAAAACUCAAAUGAAUUGACGGGGGCCCGCACAAGCGGUGGAGCAUGUGGUUUAAUUCGAUGCAACGCGAAGAACCUUACCUGGUCUUGACAUCCACAGAACUUUCCAGAGAUGGAUUGGUGCCUUCGGGAACUGUGAGACAGGUGCUGCAUGGCUGUCGUCAGCUCGUGUUGUGAAAUGUUGGGUUAAGUCCCGCAACGAGCGCAACCCUUAUCCUUUGUUGCCAGCGGUUCGGCCGGGAACUCAAAGGAGACUGCCAGUGAUAAACUGGAGGAAGGUGGGGAUGACGUCAAGUCAUCAUGGCCCUUACGACCAGGGCUACACACGUGCUACAAUGGCAUAUACAAAGAGAAGCGACCUCGCGAGAGCAAGCGGACCUCAUAAAGUAUGUCGUAGUCCGGAUUGGAGUCUGCAACUCGACUCCAUGAAGUCGGAAUCGCUAGUAAUCGUAGAUCAGAAUGCUACGGUGAAUACGUUCCCGGGCCUUGUACACACCGCCCGUCACACCAUGGGAGUGGGUUGCAAAAGAAGUAGGUAGCUUAACCUUCGGGAGGGCGCUUACCACUUUGUGAUUCAUGACUGG
rnacentral:rRNA from 1 species